CCGUACCCGAUGGCCACCCGUGGACCUUGGACCGGGUAUUCCACCUCCAGGUCGCGCAAAUGCUGCAGUAUCACGGUCAACCGUACCAGCUCGUUCGAGAACCCGCAAGCAGCGUUUGACAGCGUUUGACAGCGGGGUGAAUUACGCGGAACUACCCUGUGGUCCUCUGCACGCGUUGAAUGUUCCGCAGUUUCGCGAAAGGGGUUCAGUUGAAGUUGUGCAGUGUGAUUAGCCAGUUUGUAGUGGAAGACAAGCUUAACCAGGGCUCAAGUGUGACCGUUAGAUUAUUUUGAAAAGCUAUUCCCUCGAUUUCGAGUUCCUGAUAGCCAGCGGAGGCAGUGAAGACAUUAUCAGAAGAAAUCAUCAACAAAAUGGCGUACGACCAAUAUCGUCGCGUUCAUGAUGUGCUGCACGGAAAUAAUGCAAUACUGGAAUUUAUUGAAAGCGAACGGCUGCGUAAUCCGAACGCCGAAACCCUGUACUGGACUGGGCUGGUGGCACGCAAUUUGCUCUCCCUGUCCGGCUUGGCCGAUGCGGUCCCGUUCGACGGUCGUCCAACGGCGGAACGGACCCGUUAUCGUCGACCACGCCGUCCAUCGCCAGGAUACGGAACUUCCAGCCCAUGCUGUCAACCUGGCUGGGUACUGUACCGCCAGCCCGCACCACCGGUGGUGCACCACGUGCUCCAGAUAUACACGCAGGGCAACGUGUACUACCAGCCAUGGUUUGAACUGCCGAGACUGUCGCGGACGUACUCGUAUACGAGCAUUCCCCUUGGGAUUGGGACAGCUUUCCCACGUGCUGGUUCGUUCAAUCGCAACGUUGAAAAUUGCGCGCAGGCUGUAGCUUUGGAUCUUGCUGCAGACAGACGUGCGACUUCCGCUGAUGCUCCGCAGGUGACCCCAACUGAGGAGCUCGUCAACCAGAUGUAAUUGCGAUUCUAAGCAACGGCGACUUUCUUCAAACUAUUCUUACGUGUCGCCAAAAAAGGCCUUCCCUUCAUCGGACAGUUGAAACGUUCAAACUCUCGCUGCACCAGCUCCGUCUUGUUGCCCUCCAUGUCGAUCAGGUUGUUCCAGUAGCUGUUCGCCGCGAUCGCGUGCCCCCGUUGGCUGAAGUGGAAACAAUCGACCGAUGCGAUGCCAGCAUCCGUAUCCCCGUUCCGGAGUGUCGGCAGUGUCAGCUGCUCCGGAAACGGUUGAAAGUUUACGACGAAAUCGGUGGCAUUGUUGAACUCCUCCCGCUCGGCCACGGACUGCUGUAUCCGGUUCCACUGGUGUAUGAUGUACUCUAGGCGUGGUUGGAACGAUGCGUAUCUGGUACCGAACACACAAGGACACUCGAAGGCGUGCGUAGUGACGCAUGAUGCAGGGCGUGGAGAGAACGUUCUCAAUACGGUACGUUCAAACAAACCAUACGCCACUGCUCCGUUGGAAGUGAGUCUGCAGCAACGAGAAUAGAAACUGAGAAAAAGAUUGUCUGUCACGUAUUUUGUACGGUUACGGUCUACGUUUCUUCGGUUUGCGAGAUGAAUUGGAUUUGAAGUUGGUUGAAAACGAAGCCGUGGUUUUAUAGCAUUUGUUCACCGAGCGCAACAAGGACGAUAAAUGAGGUAUCAUUAAAUUCAUGAUUCAUAACCAUUCGCAUUCGUUUGAUGCACAACCGUGGAUGGUCAAUUAUUUGCAUUUGUUGCUCACACCUUUUAAAAUUACGGACGAAGUUGAAAAUGCAAUAAUAGCAUGAAACAAUCAAACCAAGAUUUGAGCGAUCAAAAUAAGCUAAAGGUAACGUUUUGGCCUUGAACAAUAAUACUUCUUGGAUAACGCGGCCCUUGAACUUGUAAAAGCAUAGAGUAUAUACGUAACCAAGGUUUAUACAUUUAUAACAUUCAAGAUUGCCUAAAACAGGCUGGACUAUGUUUCUUCAUUCACAAAGAUCAUGCAAUAAAAUACAGCGAUUGAAAAAUAUUAGGCCGGAUCAGCUAUCCUGCAUGGCGGUUGUAUCGUCAAAAGCAAAGAAAGAA